rnacentral:tRNA from 1 species
GUCGCUUUAGCUCACUUGGGAGAGCGCCAGACUGAAGAUCUGGAGGUACUGUGUGUAAGUUAAACCAUUAAUUCACAGCUCUUGGUCAUUACCUAAUUAAGCACCAGUCGAUCCACAGAAGCGACA